GGGCCCGCACAAGCGGUGGAGCAUGUGGUUUAAUUCGAUGAUACGCGAGGAACCUUACCAGGGCUUAAAUGUAAGUUGCAUAGAGUAGAGAUAUUCUUUUCUUCGGACUACUUACAAGGUGCUGCAUGGUUGUCGUCAGCUCGUGCCGUGAGGUGUCAGGUUAAGUCCUAUAACGAGCGCAACCCCUGUUGUUAGUUGCCAGCGAGUCAAGUCGGGAACUCUAACAAGACUGCCAGUGCAAACUGUGAGGAAGGUGGGGAUGACGUCAAAUCAUCACGGCCCUUACGUCCUGGGCUACACACGUGCUACAAUGGUAGGUACAGAGAGCAGCCACUGCGCGAGCAGGAGCGAAUCUAUAAAACCUAUCACAGUUCGGAUCGGAGUCUGCAACUCGACUCCGUGAAGCUGGAAUC
rnacentral:rRNA from 1 species